rnacentral:rRNA from 1 species
AGACGAGCAUCUGCAAAUAUCCCAGUCACCCAAAUCCUUGCCAUUUCCAAGGAAAUCAAGGAAGUGAGGGUGGAGCAAGUCCCAGCAAGUGACUUUGGGGCGCAUGAUGGGGUCCUGCUAACGAUCCAGGACAAGCCUAGUGACCGGGAAUCGGACAAGGUCAUGGUCCAUUUGGGUGUAAGAAAAUCGAGACAUGGGGAUGAGAGCCCCUCAGGGUCAUUCCGUUACAUGGACAAGGAUGUAGGCUUUCAAUCAGCUGAAGAAGGAGGGCCGAGAACUUUUCGGCAAGCUUCAACUCAUGGGAUAACCUCCCCUUCAACUUUGGUUGGCUUGCUAGAGUUCUCCUACCUUUUCUGGGGUCAUUGGUUCACUUUGAGGGAUUUGGAACUUGCCACCAAUCAUUUUCAAGAUAACAUUAUUGGUGAGGAUGGAUAUGGUGUAGUUUAUCGCAGCGAGAUCAUCAAUGGCACUCCUGUUGCUGUCAAAAAGCUUCUUUAUAACCUAGGGCAAGCUGAGAAGGAAUUCAGAGUAGAAGUUGAAGCUAUUGGUCAUGUUCGCCACAAGAACUUAGUCCGUCUUCUUGGUUACUGCGUGGAGGGUACUCAGAGGAUAUUUUUCUAUGAAUAUUUGACCAAUGGAAACCUAGGGCAAUGGCUUCAUGGAGAUAUGAGUCACCGGGGCUCCCUUACAUGGGAGGCCCACAUAAAGAUUCUUCUAGGGACAGGUAAAGCGCAUGCUUACUUGCAUGAGGCAAUUGAACUGAAAGUCGUGCACCAUGAUAUCAAAUCUAGCACUAUUUUGAUUGAUGGUGAUUUUGACGCUAAAGUAUCAGAUUUUGGUUUAGCCAAGCUUCUUGGUGCCGGUAAGAGUCAUGUAACUACUUUGGGUAUGUUGGGCAACUAUUAUGUGGCACCAGAAUAUGCAAACACUAGAUUGUGA